CGCGCAGGCGGCUGGGCAAGUGGGUGGUGAAAUCCCCGGGCUCAACUCGGGGUUGGCCACCGAGACUGUCUAGCUGGAGUGUGGGAGAGGAGGGUGGAAUUCCUGGUGUAGCGGUGAAAUGCGUAGAGAUCAGGAGGAACACCGGUGGCGAAGGCGGCUCUCUGGACCACGACUGACGCUGAGGCGCGAAAGCUAGGGGAGCAAACAGGAUUAGAUACCCUGGUAGUCCUAGCCCUAAACGAUGGAUACUUGCUGUGGGGGGGUAUUAAAUCCCCCUGUGGCGGAGCUAACGCGUUAAGUAUCCCGCCUGGGGAGUACGGUCGCAAGUCUGAA
rnacentral:rRNA from 1 species